rnacentral:sRNA from 1 species
AGAAGAAAACAAAAACAAACAGAGCGAGAAGGGCCUGAGACUCUCCGAGGCGGCGGCAGAGGCAGAAGAGCGGGGUCGGGGCCGGCUGACCAGGGACCUGGGCGAGCAGCGGCGGGGGCCCGAGGGAUCCUGAUAAUUUAAGUGACUCUCUCUUUUCCGGUGAUGAAGAAAGUGCUGGGACUGAGGAAAUAAAGAAUGAAAUAAAUGGAAAUUGGAUUUCAGCAUCCUCCAUUAAUGAAGCUAGAAUUAAUGCCAAGGCAAAAAGGCGACUAAGGAAAAACUCAUCCCGGGACUCUGGCAGAGGCGAUUCGGUCAGCGACAAUGGGAGUGACACCCUUAGAAGUGGAGUAACUGUGCCAACCAGUCCAAAGGGAAGAUUGCUGGAUAGGCGAUCCAGAUCUGGGAAAGGAAGGGGACUACCAAAGAAAGGUGGUGCAGGAGGCAAAGGUGUCUGGGGUACACCUGGACAGGUGUAUGAUGUGGAGGAGGUGGAUGUGAAAGAUCCUAACUAUGAUGAUGACCAGGAGAACUGUGUUUAUGAAACUGUAGUUUUGCCUUUGGAUGAAAGGGCAUUUGAGAAGACUUUAACACCAAUCAUACAGGAAUAUUUUGAGCAUGGAGAUACUAAUGAAGUUGCGGAAAUGUUAAGAGAUUUAAAUCUUGGUGAAAUGAAAAGUGGAGUACCAGUGUUGGCAGUAUCCUUAGCAUUGGAGGGGAAGGCUAGUCAUAGAGAGA